UACGGGGGGAGCAAGCGUUGUUCGGAUUUACUGGGCGUAAAGGGCGCGUAGGCGGCCUCUGCAAGUCGACUGUGAAAUCUCCGGGCUUAACCCGGAACGGUCAGCCGAUACUGCAGGGCUAGAGUGCAGAAGGGGCAACUGGAAUUCUCGGUGUAGCGGUGAAAUGCGUAGAUAUCGAGAGGAACACCUGCGGCGAAGGCGGGUUGCUGGGCUGACACUGACGCUGAGGCGCGAAAGCUAGGGGAGCGAACGGGAUUAGAUACCCCAGUAGUCC
rnacentral:rRNA from 1 species